rnacentral:piRNA from 1 species
UAGUUAGGUUCCUCAUUAUUUGGUGAAUC